GUUUAUUAGUACACAAUCUUUUUGAAAUUAGACCAAGUCUGAUACCCUUAAAUUCCAAUAGAAGCUUCUAUAUCUCUUUUGAAAAUAUACGCGAAAUUGGUAUGCAUUUGUCUACAGGUUGCUAUAUGUUGACCAAAGAAUGACAAAAUAAAGCAUCCCAUCUCUUUCUUUGAAUUUUACAUCUCAUCUUUCUAACUGAAUUUGGUGUUCUUCCAAACCUUUGUAUCUUCCUCCUCUUUCUUCAUCUUCUCUGUCCCUUAAUUCCUCAUAUCUCUUUUUGAGACAAGAAGUUCGUAGAAUUGAGUGAAGCUAUAUAUUUUCUGCACUAUUGCUAGUUGACGUCUCUCUUUCUGGGUGCUAAGUCCUUUAAUCAAACAGAAAUGCAUCAACAGCUGCAUCCAUACUUUUUGCUUUUCGUUACUAUAAUCUUUAUCUUGAUCCAUAUACCCGGGUCAUUUUGUCAAGAUGUCGAGCAAUUCAGAAGGUGUGGUGAGUCGUUUCGCUGCGGCGACAUCGAUAUUAAUUACCCUUUCUGGGGAGAGAGCAGACCGAAGUACUGUGGUCAUCCAAAUUUCGAGAUCAGAGUAACAUCCCGAAUAUUGUUAUCGAAUCAACAUCAUACAGAGUGAUAACGAUCAACAGUCCUAAUAGAAUUCUAACCUUGGCUAGAGAUGAUUUACUGAGUACUAUUUGUUUGGACAACCCUGGUUUCGAGAUCAACUGCGAGAGUAACACCCCGAAUAUUGCUAUUGAAUCAGCAACAUACAAAGUGAUAGCGAUCAACAGACCUACUCGAAUACUAACCUUGGCUAGAGAUGAUUUACUGAGUAAUAUUUGUUUGGACAACCCUGAGAACGCCUCCUUGGAUUUAAAUAUUUUCAGCUAUGUUUCCACUGACCAGAAUAUUACUCUGCACUAUGGCUGCACCCUCGUCUCUGGUCAGCAAUUACUAAAUGACCCAAAAGUCUUUAAUUGUAGUAGCAACAUAUUUGGUAUUUACACAAUGAUCGGGCUAUUGUUCGACUUCUCUCGGGUAAGAUGCGAGAGCGAAAUAAUAGCUAGGAUCAAUCAAACGAAUGCUGUGGCAUUAGCCAGCGC
rnacentral:lncRNA from 1 species